UGUAGCUGCAAAGACACAUAAAAUUGAAAAUAGAAGAUAAACCUUUGGGCUCAGUGUUAUACCGGAGCUACCAUGUGAUUGACUGGUUGUUAGAGCAGUGUACUGCGUCUCCACAACAGUGUCAGUCCUCUACGGUCCAAAUAUGCCUCCGACAAGAGAACAACACACCAACAGCAGCGCAUCUGCGAUAAGUGGAGGUCCAUUUCCUCUUACAUUAGGGUCCGGACAAAGAGCCCACUGCAGCAGAAGCAGGUUACCUUGGGGGCCACAGAUUGCUCAGUGUGUGCGGGUGUGAGCGGAGAGUACUCCGAUGUCAUGGGGGCAUCUCAAGUUUACAACUCAACAUCAGCAAAAUACAUGCAGAACAUCUUCAUGAUUAUCUUCAACUUCGAGGAUAUUGCCAAGUUUUCAGAUUUAGGUCAUCGAAAUGAAUACAAGCAGAGUGGAAGAUGAAGAAGCAUAAUGGCUUCGCGACGAAGCAUUCAGGAGUAAAAACACAGGAAAUUGAGCUCUUGGAUUAAGUGCAUUUUUCUCUGCAUGGAUUAAUCAUUGUUGACAAAAGAUUUGAACUAAUUUCAUCCUCAGAGAAAUCUAAUGUGAUUCUAUAAAGUCUGAAGUCUUUAUUUUCACAAUGAGCAGCUUCUACAGCCCAUUUUGAAGACA